UCUUGAAGUCAGCAUUGCUUCUAAAGGCCAAAGGGUGGAGAACAACAACUGAAUAAUGAGCAUAUAGUCUCUCUAUACAAAAGGAAUAAAGCACUGAUACCCGCAGCCUCAAGAAUGAACCCUGAGGACAUGACGCUAAGUGAAAGGAGACAGAAACAAAAGAUCUACAAUCCCAUUCAUCAGGAAGUUCAGGGUGGAAACCUCUAUAGAGAUGGAACACAUAUUGUUGGCUCUAACAGCAAAGGGAAUAAGGUCUCAGUGGCUGAUCUCAUUCAGACAGAUCAGGUGCAUAUGACUGCAUCACACCGAAAGGCCAGAAGUCAUAUUACUUUUAAUAUUCCAAGUCGGAGCAAUACUUAAGACCCCUCCAGAAUAAAACAGCCAUCAGACUCAAAAAGAGUCAGGGAAA